rnacentral:rRNA from 1 species
UGAUUUAUGCUCACGGUUGGGAUGAGCUUGCGGCCCAUUAGCUUGUUGGCAGGGUAAGAGCCUACCAAGGCGACGAUGGGUAGCUGGUCUGAGAGGAUGAUCAGCCACACUGGCACUGAGACACGGGCCAGACUCCUACGGGAGGCAGCAGUGGGGAAUUUUGCGCAAUGGGCGAAAGCCUGACGCAGUAACGCCGCGUGGAGGACGAAGGCCUUCGGGUUGUAAACUCCUGUCAGGGGGAACGACGAAGCGAGGCUGAUAAGGCCUUGCCUUCUGACGGUACCUCCAAAGGAAGCCCCGGCUAAUUCCGUGCCAGCAGCCGCGGUAA